GAUGAAGAAGGUAGCGAAAUGCGAUAAGUAAUGUGAAUUGCAGAAUUCAGUGAAUCAUCGAAUCUUUGAACGCACAUUGCGCCCGCCAGUAUUCUGGCGGGCAUGCCUGUCUGAGCGUCAUUUCAACCCUCAUGCCCCUAGGGCGUGGUGUUGGGGAUCGGCCAAAGCCCGCGAGGGACGGCCGGCCCCUAAAUCUAGUGGCGGACCCGUCGUGGCCUCCUCUGCGAAGUAGUGAUAUUCCGCAUCGGAGAGCGACGAGCCCCUGCCGUUAAACCCCCAACUUUCCAAGGUUGACCUCAGAUCAGGUAGGAAUACCCGCUGAACUUAAGCAUAUCAAUAAGCGGAGGA
rnacentral:misc_RNA from 1 species